AAAGGUAGUUGAAAGAAAAUGAGAAGAGAAUGAAGUGUGAAGUAUAUCAAAAGUACAUUUCGGAGCCCCUUAAAUAGGCUCUCUACAAGUGUGGGCGGGAUCUUGCUUCCGUCGAUGACACGUGACAGGCACAGAGAGAGGGCCCCUCCUCCUGCAAUACCGAGCACGGGAAGGAGAAGUCGAUCCUCUUUUCGACGAAUCCGGGGAGAAGGUCGGGUGAAUGACCUCUUCGGCGCCGUGGGGUCCGGCCAAGUAGAAGGUAGGGGGAUGACGUAUCGCCCGUGGUGUCCGGCCAUAUAGAAGGUAGGGGGAUGACGUAUCGCCCGUGGUGUCCGACCAAGUAGAAGGUAGGGGGAUGACGUAUCGCCCGUGGUGUCCGACCAAGUAGAAGGUAGGGGGAUGACGUAUCGCCCUUGGCGUCCGGCCAUACCUAACAGCAUCUCCGGCGGGGGAGGAAGAUCCCGACGUGUAGGGGCCAGCAGCCGCUGUACUAGGGAUCG
rnacentral:lncRNA from 1 species